CGGGGCGUAGCUAAACAUUAUAGUAUCUCUUUUACACCGAGAAGAUACCCGUGCAAGUCGGGUCGCUCUGA
rnacentral:tRNA from 1 species